UAUUAUAAGGUUUCUGCACUGUGUUCUACC
rnacentral:piRNA from 1 species